rnacentral:lncRNA from 1 species
UUCAUCGCUCAUCUCUCGAAAACCAUGCUAAACAAUGUCAAAACAACAAUCUUACAAUAAAAUUACAAAGAUAAAAAAAAAUUAUAUUUAAAAUACAUCACCCUCACUUGUGAAUCAAACAUAUUUGUAAUUAAAAUUCCUCACUUCCUCUUUCAUAUUUUGAACCAAACAUUUAUGUAAAUCAAAUAAUUCUCCUCUCUUCUCCUCCUCUCCCCUCCUUUUGAU